rnacentral:tRNA from 1 species
AAAGCUUUAGUAUAAUUUAGUAUGUCCCGCUGUCAAUGGGGAGGUAGUGAAAGCUUUA